rnacentral:rRNA from 1 species
GUAUAAGAGACAGCAGUAGCCGCGGGAAUACAGAGGGUGCGAGCGUUAAUCGGAUUUACUGGGCGUAAAGCGUGCGUAGGCGGCUUUUUAAGUCGGAUGUGAAAUCCCUGAGCUUAACUUAGGAAUUGCAUUCAAUACUGGGAAGCUAGAGUAUGGGAGAGGAUGGUAGAAUUCCAGGUGUAGCGGUGAAAUGCGUAGAGAUCUGGAGGAAUACCGAUGGCGAAGGCAGCCAUCUGGCCUAAUACUGACGCUGAGGUACGAAAGCAUGGGGAGCAAACAGGAUUAGAUACCCCUGUAGUCCCUGUCUCUUAUAC